UAGAGCCGUGCGAGAUGAAAGUCUCAUGCACGGUUUUGAAUAAGAGAAAGAAGUGAGGAAUCCUCUUUUCGACAGAAAAGAUAUAAGUUGUUAAAAUACAUUUUUUUAUAGACUAAAAAAAGAGUUAGCUCAUAU
rfam:Phaseolus vulgaris cultivar G19833 chromosome 6, whole genome shotgun sequence.